CCCGCGGCUGGUUCGGGGCGCUCCCUUAGCUCCUCGAAUAGCUGCGCCUUGUGUGCUGCUCGGCUAGCGGCGGCGGCGGCUGCCCAGUCGGUGUACACCUUCUCGGGGCGCCCGCUGGCCGGGGAGCCUGUGAGCCUGGGUUCCCUGCGGGGCAAGGUGCUGCUUAUCGAGAAUGUGGCGUCCCUCUGAGGCACCACGGUCCGGGACUACACCCAGGUGAACGAACUGCAGCGGCGCCUCGGGCUCCGGGGCCUGGUGGUGCUCGGCUUCCCGUGCAACCGGUUUGGACAUCAGGAGAACGCCAAGAACGAAGAGAUUUUGAAUUCCCUCAAGUACGUCCGACCUGGUGGUGGGUUCGAGCCCAACUUCAUGCUCUUCGAGAAGUGCGAGGUGAACGGUGAGGGGUCGCACCCUCUCUUGGCCUUCCUGCGGGAGGCCCUGCCAGCGCCCAGCAACAACGCCUCUGCGCUCAUGACCGACCCCAAGCUCAUCACCUGGUCUCCGGUAUGCCGAAACGAUGUUGCAUGGAACUUUGAGAAGUUCCUGGUGGGCCCUGACGGUGUUCCUGUGCGCUGGUACAGCCACCGCUUCCAGACCAUUGACAUCAAGCCUGACAUCGAAGCCCUGCUGUCCCAAGGGCCCAGCUGUGCCCAGGGCGCCCCUCCUACCCCGGCUGCCUGGCAGUUGCAGCGCUGCUCUCUGGGGGAUUUUCAUCAGUGAGGGUGUUUCCUCUAAACCUACAAGGAGGACCACCUAAUAGUCCAGAAAAUACCCCCUCGAGAAUGGCCGCUGGUCCUGUCCAUCCCAGUCUCUUUGCCAGACCAAGGGGAGUUUCCCCACUAAUAAAGUGCCAGGUGUUAGCAGAAAAAAAAAAAAAAAAUUACACUCCCGCAUGCCCACCCAUUAUUUGAGGGAGGGCAGAAAGUCAUAUAUUUGGGAUAGGACUGUGAUCCUGGCCUGGAUUUCAUGUGUCUUUUUACCUGAAUAGGCUUAUGUUUCCCAUCUAAAUGAUUCAUUGAAAAGCCAAGAGGAUGGGAGGAGUUUAUCUCCCCCAGAGUUUUUUAUAGUAUUUGGCUGCAGACAUAGGAAUCAAUUGACUAAGCAAGGAUUGCUGGGGAAGCUAUUGAAACUCUGGCUCCUAUGUACUUCGAGUGCCCCAAAGACCUGAAGGUCAUUCUACUUGGUGAAUGUCAACACAAAACAGUGGCAAUCCUGAAGAAGCAUCACCUGGGCUCAAGCUGUUACCACCUCUCUAAUGAUAAGUGAUAUCCCUGCUCACACACCUGCCUACUUGUCUUAAACACUUGCUCCCUUGCUUAAAGCUUGCUAAUUUUUUUUAUUGCAUUUUAGGUUUUGGGCUAUAUGUGAAGAACAUGCAAGAUUGUUGUAUAGGUACACACAUGGCAGUGUGAUUUGCUGCCUUCCUCCACAUUACCUAUAUCUGGCGUUUCUCCCCAUGCUAUCUCUCCCCAACUCCCCACACCCCACUGUCCCUCCCGUAUGUCCCCCCGACAGACCCCAGUGUGUAGUGCUCCCCUCCCUGUGUCCAUGUUUUCUCAUUGUUCAACACUCACAUAUGAGUGAGAACGUGCGGUGUUUGAUUUUCUGUUCUUGUGUCAGUUUGCUGAGAAUGAUGGUCUCCAGUUUCAUCCAUGUUCCUACAAAGGACACAAACUCAUCGUUUUUGAUGGCUGCACAGUGUAUAUUUGCCACAUUUUCCCUGUCCAGUCUAUCAUCGAUGGGCAUUUGGGUUCGUUCCGGGUCUUUGCUAUUGUAAACGGUGCUGCAAUGAACAUUCGUGUGCAUGUGUCCUUAUAGUAGAACGAUUUAUAAUCCUUUGGAUAUAUACCCAGUAAUGGGAUUGCUGGGUCAAAUGGAAUUUCUAUUUCUAGGUCCUUGAGGAAUCUCCACACUGUCUUCCACAAUGGUUGAACUAAUUUACACUCCCACCAACAGUGUAAAAGUGUUCCUAUUUCUCCACAUCCUCUCCAGCAUCUGUUGUCUCCAGAUUGCUAAUGCCUUUUGUCUGUGUCUCCUCUAUACCACUAGGCUGGGGCAGAGUUUGCUCUUCUGGCCCAUCUACGGCUGGGCGUCUGUUGUUGACACCUCUUAAUCUUUAUUUCCACUCCUUCCCACUGGCCAUGUAAGGCACUUGAUUACCUGAGGUGUGAUUAUAAAAGAUGCUUAAAAAACCCCCUAGAUUUGGAAUUUUCCUAACUAGUUGUUCCAUUCCAUAUUUAGUUUAUAUUGUAUCUAGACGCUUUUAGGUUCUGUGAGCCUAAAGUUUAUACAAUAUGGGGACCCUCUAGAAUAAAAAGUAUGCAGAAUUGUAAAUAUAAAACUAGUACAAAAUUGAAUAUUUAUUUAUAACUAUUAAUUACAAGUUACAAAUUUUAAAGAGCUGACAAAUAUCACAAACAAAAAAUCAGUAUUAAUAUUUUUAUGAUUACUAACUGCCUAACAUACUCUAAAAUUUCUUUUUUUCUUAUAUACUUUUUGAUUAUCUCUUAAUAGGACCAAGAUUUCAUAGUAUUUUCUAUGGAGAGAUUUAAGA